rnacentral:rRNA from 1 species
AGCCUUAAGAUUUUAUUUGAGGUGACGCCUGCCCAGUGCUGGAUGUUAACGGCCGCAGUACCCUGACUGUGCUAAGGUAGCAAAAUCAUUUGGCUUUUAAUUGGAGUCGGGAAUGAAUGGAUUAAUAGGGUGAAGCUGUCUCUUUUAUAUUUUAUUGAAUUUCCUUAUUAGGUGAAAAUGCCUAAAAAUAGAAAAAAGACGAGAAGACCCCAGGAGCUUUUACUAGCUGUUAAAUUAUAUUAACUACUGUUUUUGUUGGGGCAACAUAGGAAUAGAUUUAAACUUCCUUUAAGCAUAUGCCGACUUAGUAUGAGAAAUUAAGCUACCCUGGGGAUAACAGCGUAAUUCUUUUAGAGCUUGCGACCUCGAUGUUGGACUAGGAAUUUGGUUGGCUAGCCGCCAAUUUAUAUGGUUCUGUUCGAACUUAUUUUCCUACAU